rnacentral:rRNA from 1 species
AUGCGUUUUGUGCGGCGCAUCCAGGAGUCUGAGGUGAAGGAGGCUUUAAAAAGGAUGAAAGGAGGCAAGGCGAUGGGCCCUGAUUGUAUCCCCAUUGAGGUGUGGAAAGGUCUCGGGGACAUAGCGAUAGUAUGGCUAACCAAGCUUUUCAACCUCAUUUUUCGGGCAAACAAGAUGCCAGAAGAAUGGAUACGGAGUAUAUUAGUACCAAUCUUCAAGAACAAGGGGGAUGUUCAGAGUUGUACUAAUUACCGUGGAAUUAAGCUGAUGAGCCAUACAAUGAAGCUAUGGGAGAGAGUCAUUGAGCACCGCUUAAGAAGAAUGACAAGCGUGACCAAAAAUCAGUUUGGUUUCAUGCCUGGGAGGUCGACCAUGGAAGCCAUUUUCUUGGUACGACAACUUAUGGAGAGAUAUAGGGAGCAUAAGAAGGACUUGCAUAUGGUGUUCAUUGACUUGGAGAAGGCCUAUGAUAAGAUACCGCGGAAUGUCAUGUGGUGGGCCUUGGAGAAACACAAAGUCCCAGCAAAGUACAUUACCCUCAUCAAGGACAUGUAUAAUAAUGUUGUGACAAGUGUUCGAACAAGUGAUGUCGACACCGAUGACUUCCCGAUUAAGAUAGGACUGCAUCAGGGGUCAGCUUUGAGCACUUAUCUUUUUGCAUUGGUGAUGGAUGAGGUCACAAGGGGUAUACAAGGAGAUAUCCCAUGGCGUAUGCUCUUUGCGGAUGAUGUGGUGCUAGUUGACGAUAGUCAGAUGGGGGUAAAUAGGAAGUUAGAGUUAUGGAGACAAACCUUGGAAUCGAAAGGGUUUAGGCUUAGUAGAACUAAAAACGAGUACAUGAUGUGCGGUUUUAGUACUACUAGUUGUGAGGAGGAGGAGGUUAGCCUUGAUGGUCAGGUGGUACCUCGGAAGGACACCUUUCGGUAUUUGGGGUCAAUAUUGCAGGAGGAUGGGGGUAUUGAUGAAGAUGUGAACCAUCGAAUCAAAGCCGGAUGGAUGAAGUGGCACCAAGCUUCUGGCAUUCUCUGUGACAAGAGAGUGCCACAAAAGCUAAAAGGCAAGUUCUACAGGACGGCGGUUCGACCCGCAAUGUUGUAUGGCGAGGAGUGUUGGCCGACUAAAAGGGGACAUGUUCAACAGUUAGGUGUGGCGGAGAUGCGUAUGCUGAGAUGGAUGUGUGGCCACACGAGGAAGGAUCGAGUCCGGAAUGAUGAUAUACGAGAUAGAGUUGGGGUAGCACCAAUUGAGGAGAAGCUUGUCCAACAUCGUUUGAGAUGGUUUGGGCAUAUUCAGCGCAGGCCUCCAGAAGCUCCAGUGCAUAGCGGACGGCUAAAGCGUGCGGAGAAUGUCAAGAGAGGGCGGGGUCGACCGAUUUUGACAUGGGAGGAGUCCGUUAAGAGAGACCUGAAGGAUUGGAGUAUCGACAAAGAGCUAGCUAUGGACAGGGGUGCGUGGAAGCUUGCUAUCCAUGUGCCAGAGCCAUGA